rnacentral:rRNA from 1 species
UGCCAGCCGCCGCGGUAAUACGGAGGGGGCUAGCGUUGUUCGGAAUUACUGGGCGUAAAGCGCACGUAGGCGGACUAUUAAGUCAGGGGUGAAAUCCCGGGGCUCAACCCCGGAACUGCCUCUGAUACUGGUAGUCUUGAGUUCGAGAGAGGUGAGUGGAAUUCCGAGUGUAGAGGUGGAAUUCGUAGAUAUUAGGAAGAACACCAGAGGCGAAGGCGACACACUGGUCCAAUACUGACGCUGAGGCGCGAAAGCGUGGGGAGCAAACAGGAUUAGAUA